rnacentral:lncRNA from 1 species
UAGCUCUCUUCCACCUCCGCGCCGCCGCCGCUUCUAAUCGCCUCGCUCUGCCCCCGCUAGCCACAAAAGAUCCAUGGAAGGCCCUUGAUGGAGCUCGUCGCGAUUGUGAGGAGCCCGUGCAGCCUCGUCGACCACGUCCUGCAGCUCAUCAAGGACGCCACAAACCCGUUCCAGCGCCAAGGCCGAACUAAGGUCUAAGUCCCUGACGUCCUCUUCAUCCUCUCCUUUGUGUGUGGAUCGGGACACGAGCUGCGUCGGAGUUCCUCGCUUGGCCGCCGUUGAACCUGCCCGUGUCCGGCCUCAUAUUUGUGUCCAAAAGGGCACUAGGUGAGGAGCACCUCCAUCCCCGUCCUUUUCCCCAUCAUUAGCUCCCCGUAGACAUCGCCGUUGUUGUCGUCGUGUUCCCCGCACUGUGCGCGUAUCUCUAAAGAUUUCUUCAGAGAUGAGCGUUCACCCCUCGGCGUCGGUUUUUCUCUAGUGUGCUCAUGAUCACCCUCA